rnacentral:rRNA from 1 species
AGAGUUUGAUCCUGGCUCAGGAUGAACGCCGGCGGUGUGCCUAAUACAUGCAAGUCGUACGCACUGGCUCAACUGAUUGAUGGUGCUUGCACCUGAUUGACGAUGGAUCACCAGUGAGUGGCGGACGGGUGAGUAACACGUAGGUAACCUGCCCCGGAGCGGGGGAUAACAUUUGGAGACAGAUGCUAAUACCGCAUAACAACAAAAGCCACAUGGCUUUUGUUUGAAAGAUGGCUUUGGCUAUCACUCUGGGAUGGACCUGCGGUGCAUUAGCUAGUUGGUAAGGUAACGGCUUACCAAGGCGAUGAUGCAUAGCCGAGUUGAGAGACUGAUCGGCCACAAUGGAACUGAGACACGGUCCAUACUCCUACGGGAGGCAGCAGUAGGGAAUCUUCCACAAUGGGCGCAAGCCUGAUGGAGCAACACCGCGUGAGUGAAGAAGGGUUUCGGCUCGUAAAGCUCUGUUGUUGGAGAAGAACGUGCGUGAGAGUAACUGUUCACGCAGUGACGGUAUCCAACCAGAAAGUCACGGCUAACUACGUGCCAGCAGCCGCGGUAAUACGUAGGUGGCAAGCGUUAUCCGGAUUUAUUGGGCGUAAAGCGAGCGCAGGCGGUUGUUUAGGUCUGAUGUGAAAGCCUUCGGCUUAACCGAAGAAGUGCAUCGGAAACCGGGCGACUUGAGUGCAGAAGAGGACAGUGGAACUCCAUGUGUAGCGGUGGAAUGCGUAGAUAUAUGGAAGAACACCAGUGGCGAAGGCGGCUGUCUGGUCUGCAACUGACGCUGAGGCUCGAAAGCAUGGGUAGCGAACAGGAUUAGAUACCCUGGUAGUCCAUGCCGUAAACGAUGAGUGCUAGGUUGUUGGAGGGUUUCGCCCCUCAGUGCCCGAGCUAACGCAUUAAGCACUCCGCCGGGGGAGUACGGACCGCAAGGUUGAAACUCAAAGGAAUUGACGGGGGCCCGCACAAGCGGUGGAGCAUGUGGUUUAAUUCGAAGCUACGCGAAGAACCUUACCAGGUCUUGACAUCUUGCGCUAACCUUAGAGAUAAGGCGUUCCCUUCGGGGACGCAAUGACAGGUGGUGCAUGGUCGUCGUCAGCUCGUGUCGUGAGAUGUUGGGUUAAGUCCCGCAACGAGCGCAACCCUUGUUACUAGUUGCCAGCAUUAAGUUGGGCACUCUAGUGAGACUGCCGGUGACAAACCGGAGGAAGGUGGGGACGACGUCAGAUCAUCAUGCCCCUUAUGACCUGGGCUACACACGUGCUACAAUGGACGGUACAACGAGUCGCGAGCUCGCGAGAGUAAGCUAAUCUCUUAAAGCCGUUCUCAGUUCGGACUGUAGGCUGCAACUCGCCUACACGAAGUCGGAAUCGCUAGUAAUCGCGGAUCAGCAUGCCGCGGUGAAUACGUUCCCGGGCCUUGCACUCACCGCCCGUCA